UACGUAGGGCGCAAGCGUUAUCCGGAAUUAUUGGGCGUAAAGAGCGUGUAGGCGGCUUGGCAAGUCUGACGUGAAAGCCCGCGGCUCAACCGCGGAUUGUCGUUGGAAACUGUCUCGCUAGAGUACGGAAGAGGCGAGUGGAAUCCUGGUGUAGCGGUGAAAUGCGCAGAUAUCAGGAGGAACACCGAUUGCGAAGGCAGCUCGCUGGGACGUUACUGACGCUGAGACGCGAAAGCGUGGGGAGCAAACAGG
rnacentral:rRNA from 1 species